GGGAAACAGCUAGACGAAGUUUUGGCGCGGAGCGUCAUUGUGCUGUUGAAUUGUGGGUGGUAUCAAGAUGUAUCAUUUUUUGAAAUGCGUGAUUUCAACUACGUAGUGUUUUCCCGUACCUGCAUGUGAUGAAAUAUAGAACGAAUCGAUCUAUAUACAGCACCUCGAUGCACUAGGAAUUUGCUGAAGAAUUUUUGCUGUCAAGUACCAAAACAUGCUGUGGCUCUGCAGAUCCAUUAAAUAGAAAUACUUAAUUAACAAAUCGAUACGCUGGAAAUGUCGACUUUUUCUCUGGACGCUUAUCCGCAUUUAAAACGGAGCUCCACAAUAUCCGCUUAUCGCGUGAUAAUAAUAUCCUUUUCUCUUUCUUUUCUCGCUGUACGCUUAACAUUGUAUUCUUUUGUACUUGUUAUUGCACCCGUACGAUAAUAAUAAUAAUAAAGAUAAU